CCUACGGGUGGCUGCAGUGAGGAAUAUUGGUCGAUGGACGAGAGUCUGAACCAGCCAAGUAGCGUGAAGGAUGACUGCCCUAUGGGUUGUAAACUUCUUUUAUAUGGGAAUAAAAUGUUCCACGUGUGGGAUUUUGUAUGUACCCUAUGAAUAAGGAUCGGCUAACUCCGUGCCAGCAGCCGCGGUAAUCCGGAGGAUCCGCGCGUUAUCCGGAUUUAUUGGGGUUAAAGGGAGCGUAGGUGGAUUGAUAAGUCAGUUGUGAAAGUUUGCGGCUCAACCGUAAAAUUGCAGUUGAAACUGGCAGUCUGGAGAACAGGAGAGGUGGGCGGAAUGCGUGGGGUAGCGGUGAAAUGCUUAGAUAUCACGAAGAACUCCGAUGGCGAAGGCAGCUCACUGGACUGGAACUGACACUGAGGCUCGAAAGUGUGGGUAUCAAACAGGAUUAGAUACCCGGGUAGUC
rnacentral:rRNA from 1 species